rnacentral:rRNA from 1 species
AUUGAACGCUGGCGGCAUGCUUUACACAUGCAAGUCGAACGGUAACAGGUUAAGCUGACGAGUGGCGAACGGGUGAGUAAUGCAUCGGAACGUGCCCGGUCGUGGGGGAUAACGCAGCGAAAGCUGCGCUAAUACCGCAUACGAUCUGAGGAUGAAAGCGGGGGACCGUAAGGCCUCGCGCGAUCGGAGCGGCCGAUGUCAGAUUAGGUAGUUGGUGGGGUAAAGGCUCACCAAGCCAACGAUCUGUAGCUGGUCUGAGAGGACGACCAGCCACACUGGGACUGAGACACGGCCCAGAAUCCUACGGGAGGCAGCAGUGGGGAAUUUUGGACAAUGGGCGAAAGCCUGAUCUAGCAAUGCCGCGUGCAGGAAGAAGGCCUUCGGGUUGUAAACUGCUUUUGUACGGAGCGAAAAGGUCUCCUCUAAUACAGGGGGCUCAUGACGGUACCGUAAGAAUAAGCACCGGCUAACUACGUGCCAGCCGCCGCCGUAA